AUUUAGCCUCUGAUUGCUGCCUUACAGGCAGGAAUCCUGCUUUGGUUCAGAGCCCUUCCGGAGAGAGCAGAGGGGCCAGAGAAUGGGACCAUCUUCCAUUUUGUGCACCUGGGUGCUCUUGGCUGCAGAUCUGAGUGCAGGCUCCUCUGCAAACCUGGUGGAGCAAAGGCCCAGGUGGGUUUUGGUAUCACGUGGACAGGCUGGGACUCUGAGCUGUAUCCUGAGGAAUUCCCAGUACCCCUGGAUGAGCUGGUACCAACAGGAUCUCCAGCGGCAGCUACAGGUGCUGGCCACUCUGCGGAGCCUUGGGGACAAGGAAUCUAUAUCCCUUCCAGGAGCUGAUUACCUGGUCACACGAGUCAGUGACACUGAACUGAGAUUGCAUGUGGCCAAUGUCACCCAGGGAAGAGUAUUGUUCUGCACCUGCAGCAAAGACACAGUGAGAAACCCUCCUUGGGCAUUUGAAUAA